CUCCAUGUCCCCACCCCUCUCACUGCUAUAGCUUCAGGUCAGAGGAGCUACAGAGCCAAAUGCUGCAGAGAUGAAGGGAGACGGAAGGAUGUCGCCUCCAGAGCUGGGGCCACGGGCAGCGCCAGGGCAGGUUCAUCACUGAUGGCAAGUCUGUGGCUGACCACGUUCACAGGGGUGGCCCCGAGCAAAGGUCGGACAUGAGGACCCAGGAGAAUUCAGGCCCCGGCUCUGGGACGGCUGUGCACCCCCACCCUGGCCGUGGCUGGCACCUCAGAAGGCACAGCUGUCCUUCACUCGCACGGAGCAACCUCAGGACAGAUGGUGGGAGAGGAAGGGCAACUCCAGGAGGCACAUUUUAGGAAACUGCCCAUUGAGCCAGCUUCGAUCCUCCAAACCUCGUCAGCAUGCACAGGCUCCCUGACUCGGCAGCAAGGACGGCCUCACCAGCUGACCCCCAUGCCCGGCACCCCCUUCACCAGUGGGUCAACUAUGCUCGCCACCACUCAGCACUCACCUCUUGGGCUCAGAGGGCAGGGAGUCUGGCCCUUCUCUCUUAAGAGCAGGGUCCUGAAAACUCCAGAGAGCAGUGCCCUGUGCAUUAAACACAGACUGCACCCUUGUACUCAGGAGGAUGCAAUUCUCUCUCUAAAGUCGAGAGCUCACCACCCCGGGUGUUAGUCACUGCCGACAUCACUGCAGACACAGAGACGGCCAUUAGAGCUCACCACCUCGAGUGUUAGUCACUGCAGACAUCACUGCAGACACAGAGACGGCCAUUAGAGCUCACCACCCCGGGCGUUAGUCACUGCAGACAUCACUGCAGACACAGAGACGGCUAUUAUGCAGCCUGACGUGGUCACUCCUGGGGGCUGUAGGAUAUUUGAUCCUAAAGAGAAAACACCUUAAAUUCUCACAUCAGCCACCCCCAUGGCGACUCUUAACACCUUAAUGUAACACCUUCCAACUUUUCCUGGGCAUUUAUGUACAAAUUGUAAUAAAAUUGGGUUCUUACUGCAUACACUGCUUGCUGGUUUUUAAAUAAAAUUGGGUUCUUACU
rnacentral:sRNA from 1 species